rnacentral:rRNA from 1 species
GCUUGCUUUCUUUGCUGGCGACCGGCGCACGGGUGAGUAACACGUAUCCAACCUACCCUUUACUCGGGGAUAGCCUUUCGAAAGAAAGAUUAAUACCCGAUAGCAUAAUGAUUCCGCAUGGUUUCAUUAUUAAAGGAUUCCGGUAAAGGAUGGGGAUGCGUUCCAUUAGGUUGUUGGCGGGGUAACGGCCCACCAAGCCUUCGAUGGAUAGGGGUUCUGAGAGGAAGGCCCCCCACAUUGGAACUGAGACACGGUCCAAACUCCUACGGGAGGCAGCAUG